UGGGGAAUAUUGGACAAUGGGCGCAAGCCUGAUCCAGCCAUGCCGCGUGAGUGAUGAAGGCCUUAGGGUUGUAAAGCUCUUUCGCCGGUGAAGAUAAUGACGGUAACCGGAGAAGAAGCCCCGGCUAACUUCGUGCCAGCAGCCGCGGUAAUACGAAGGGGGCUAGCGUUGCUCGGAAUCACUGGGCGUAAAGCGCACGUAGGCGGAUCGUUAAGUCAGGGGUGAAAUCCUGGAGCUCAACUCCAGAACUGCCCUUGAUACUGGCGAUCUCGAGUUCGAGAGAGGUUGGUGGAACUCCGAGUGUAGAGGUGAAAUUCGUAGAUAUUCGGAAGAACACCAGUGGCGAAGGCGGCCAACUGGCUCGAUACUGACGCUGAGGUGCGAAAGCGUGGGGAGCAAAACAGGAUUAGAUACCCUGGUAGUCCACGCCGUAAAACGAUGGAUGCUAGCCGUUGGGGUUGGAUCCUCUCAGUGGCGCAGCUAACGCCUUAAGCAUCCCGCCUGGGGAGUACGGUCGCAAGAUUAAAAACUUAAAGGAAUUGACGGGGUCAUAGCUG
rnacentral:rRNA from 1 species